UACGUAGGGUGCGAGCGUUAAUCGGAAUUACUGGGCGUAAAGCGUGCGCAGGCGGUCUGUUAAGACAGAUGUGAAAUCCCCGGGCUUAACCUGGGAACUGCAUUUGUGACUGGCAGGCUAGAGUAUGGCAGAGGGGGGUAGAAUUCCACGUGUAGCAGUGAAAUGCGUAGAGAUGUGGAGGAAUACCGAUGGCGAAGGCAGCCCCCUGGGCCAAUACUGACGCUGAGGCGCGAAAGCGUGGGGAGCAAACAGG
rnacentral:rRNA from 1 species